AUAAGCCCUAGUGAGCUUCCACGGCCGACCACUCCACCAUCUGCGAAAUCGGAAAACCACUCACGCUCAGCCGAAUCAACCACAAUCAAUUCUUUGUGUGGAUGGAGUUUUUAUGUGGGGCGAUUGACACAAUUAAGACACGCAUGCAAAUCCAACAUAUUUAGGGCUUAUACAGAGUAUUGCUCCUGGAGUAAUGGGAUCUCUUGCUACUCACUUUGGAGUCCACAAAGAAUUUCACGUGGUUAUCAUCCUCCACCGCCUUUUAUCUUGCCUCUGGUCAUAUCCAAGUUACGCCUGCUGUUGUCGUGAAACUGCGAUGUAGGCUGCUCAUGUUGGAAACUUGAAUUACUUGCUCGUUCAGAUGGAGUCGAAUCUACACCGCCAUGCAAAGUAUGCGGAAGGGACAAAGAGUGUCGAUUCUGCAGCGACGAUUGGCUCAGCUUCUCACAUUGUGAGAAGAUGUACACAGGCCACAGCGAGUGCCGCAAAUACCCAAAGGUAGAAGGGGCAAACGCAAACGAAAUUGCCCCAACUCCAAAGGAGGAGCAAUGGGAGAGUUUGUCAUGGUGGAGAGGCGGAAGGGCUUCACGCAAGCUCUUCUAUUGGAAGGAAGGUCUUGCUUCUGCCCUGUCUUCUAAUGCCGCCAGAGAACGUCUAGAGCUUCUCCUACUCAGUGUCUUUCAGUUUGCUAGCUUGGUUGCGCACUUGUGUCAUAACUUCAAACUUGAGGUGUAGCAUGUUGUUAUAAGAAGAUUGAAGGGUGAAUUACCCGGACAGCACAGAAUACGCCAAGAGGACCAAUAAAAGGCGUCAUUUCCAAGUCUUUUAAUAGCAUGAAACUCCAAUUGAGGCUGCUCACAUUGGAAAAUUGAAGUAUUUGCUCCUUCACGUUGGUCUAUUUCCUUCACUGUGUAUUCAUCAAUUUCCUAUAUGUAGUAUACAUAUAAUCACAUUGGGCAAUGCCAAUCAAUAUUGUGCAAUUAAAGAUUUUCUAGGCAGAGGCCGUUGGAGGUUGUACUAUUAGGCGAUGCCAUUCAAAAUGUGCGGUCUAAGAGCAUGAGCAACUAGGAGUACUAGUAGUAGUAGUGAACUUCACUUGCACAAAGAUUGCACACACUAUUACAAAGAGUGGUGUCUUACACAGUGGUUAAGGUGGUUGAAGCAGAGGCGUUCAAGGUGGAGGUGGACAAGAGGGGGCGGAGAUGAAGAAAUCGAUUCCACACCAAAAACCUGAGAAAUUGAUUUGAAUUUAAACGAAGAGGCCGAGGAAGCCAGCACGAGCGCCACAAAAACUAUGCGAUGGUUCGAUGUAAAGGAGGAUCGAUUCGAGAAGCUUCCCCCCCCCUUCUUCCAUGACUCCAUGUUCGCUGAUAUCCAUUUUGCGCUCAGGGUUGGUGGUAGUAUGGUGGAGUGUUUGAAUGAGUUUGUAGUUGAUGGGAAUGGUGAUGAGUGCUAUCUGGAUAAAGCAAAGCAGAAGGUUGGAGACGAAGAAAUCGAUUCCACACCAAAAACCAGAGAAAUUGAUUUGAAACAAUGAGAUGGUUCGAUUUGAACAUCGAAUUGAAGGAGGAUCAAUUCGAGGAGCAGUUGUCAGGGAUGGUGGUUAACGACAAGGGGAAGGACAUCAAUGAAGAAGAGGAUGACGACUGCAUGAUUGUACUAUUAUGCAAUGCCAUUCAAGAUUGUGUUGUCUAAGAGCAUGAACAACUAGGAGUUCUAUUAAUGCACUUCACUUGCCCAAAGAUUGUACACAGUCUUACACAAAGUGGUUAACGUGGUUGAAUCAGAGGCAUUCAUGGCGGAUGUAGGCAUGAGGGGGAGGAGACGAUGAAAUCGAUUCCACACCAAAAACCAGAGAAAUUGAUCUGAAUCUGGAUUUAAACGAAGAGGAUGGGGAAGCCAACACGAGCGCCAUGACAACGGUGAGGUGCCAUGGAAUUGCUGGAGAAUGGAGAAUAGAAGUAUUGAAGAAUAGGGGUGGAGGCAAUGGUGGUAGUAUUGUGGACGAGUGUUUGAAUGAGUUUGUUGUUGAUGGAAUGGUGAUGCGUGCUAUCUAGAUAAAGCAAAGAAGAAGAAGGGCGGAGACGAAGAAAUCGAUUCCACACCAAAAACCAGAGAAAUUGAUUUCCAACAAUGAGAUGGUUCCACUUGAACAUCAAAUUGAAGGAGGAUCAAUUCGAGGAGCAGUUGUCAGCAAUGGUGGUCGACAAUAAAGGGAGUUGGCCUCAAGAUGGUCUGCUGAAGAUAACCAACAAGUCAGCAGAACAGAUCAUAGGGAGCUGUUGGCGGUGAUCUCAAACAAGCAUGUCCUGUUUUCAUGGUCAAAUCUAUCAAAUCUCAGAUGUGUGGGUAGGCUUUUGUUGCAAAGUUCCUGAUUUAGAUAGAGUUCGAUUGUUCAUAACAAGCAAUAGUGUUCAUGUCCUGUUUUCAUGGUCAAAUCUAUCAAAUCUCAGAUGUGUGGGCAGGCUUUUGUUGCAAAGUUCCUGAUUUAGAUAGAGUUUGAUUGUUCAUAACAAGCAAUAGUGUUCAUGUCCUGUUUUCAUGGUCAAAUCUAUCAAAUCUCAGAUGUGUGGGUA